AGCCAGGCUGGCCUUGAACUUACCAAGACA
rnacentral:piRNA from 1 species